GCAGAGUUACAGACAAGUUGGCACAAAUUGGUCCCUCCAGGCAGAAUGUGCUCCUUCACAGUGGUCAUGGAGGCUAACCAGGUGCAAACAUCCAAACUGGAGCAGAAAGCCCUUCUUCCCACUGGAUACCUGGUGCUGGGAGCUGCAGCUGCCAUGUUGAUGGUGGUCUUGGUUUUGGCUGUAGUUGCUGUGAGAAGGUUGAACAGGCAGAAAGUGAAUCUGAAAUUUUAA